rnacentral:misc_RNA from 1 species
GAUGAAGAACGUAGCGAAAUGCGAUACGUAAUGUGAAUUGCAGAAUUCAGUGAAUCAUCGAAUCUUUGAACGCAUAUUGCGCUCUUUGGUAUUCCGAAGAGCAUGCUUGUUUGAGUAUCAGUAAACACCUCAACCCCUUCUUGAUUUUUCAAAAGGAGGGUGGACUUGAGCUAUCCCAACAACCUUUACCGGUCGGCGGGCGGCUUGAAAUGCAGGUGCAGCUGGACUUUUAUCUGAGCUAAAAGCAUAUCUAUUUAGUCCUCGUCAAACAGGAUUAUUACUUUUGCUGCAGCUAACAUAAAGGAUAAUUGUCCUCUUUGCUGACUGAUGCAGGAUUUUACGACACUUUAUGUGUUGUUCAACUCGAUCUCAAAUCAAGUAAGACUACCCGCUGAACUUAAGCAUAUCAAUAAGCGGAGGA